GUAAUACGUAGAGUGCAAGCGUUGUCCGGAAUUAUUGGGCGUAAAGGGUACGCAGGCGGAUAGUAAAGUCAAGCGUGAAAGGUCUCGGCUUAACCGACAGACUGCGUUUGAAACUGAUUAUCUUGAGUGUAACAGAGGAGAGUGGAAUUCCUAGUGUAGUCGUGAAAUACGUAGAUAUUAGGAAGAACACCAGUGGCGAAGGCGACUUCUCUGGGUUAACACUGACGCCUGAAGUACGAAAGCUGGGGGAGCGAACGGGAUUAGAUACCCCGGUAGUCCCAGCCGUAAACGAUGGAUACHAGGUGUUGGAUGG
rnacentral:rRNA from 1 species